rnacentral:hammerhead_ribozyme from 1 species
UCACUGCUGAAGAGUCCCAUAAUAGGACGAAACGGCCGUCCAGUGC